GGGGAAAACAGGCUGGACCUGGGGAAAAAUUAAUUCCCAAUCAAAUCAGAGCAGGCUAACGAGAAAGAAAAGCAAGUUGUAAAGGCAGAGGGGGUUGCUGGGGCAGAGGUUCCAGCCUGUGAGGCUGCCCUGGCCCGGCCGGAGCUGGAGCUGGAGCUGGAGGAUGGAGGAUGGAGGAUGGAGGAUGGAGGAUGGAGGAUGGAUGGAGCAGCCCCUGCACAGGGGGCUCGUGGAUCUGCUCCAGCAGCCGAUUUAACAGCUCUGGCCCUGCCCAUGCCUUUUCCUCCAAAGGCAGGUGCUUUUCCGUGGGGACACAGUGUCCGAGGGCGAUGCCACCGAGCCCGGCCGGGGCCAAACCGGGGGGGCUGCACCCGGUACCCCCUGUUCCCACCAGGUUCCUGCGGGGCAGGCACAAGGUGCUCCAAUACUCUUCAGGUGCUUCCUCACCAGGCAGCAUCUGUUUCCUGUCCUAAACAGGACAGAGCCAGGGCUGCUGGGACUCCUCUGUCAGCAGAGGAGGAUGAGCCUGUCCCUCUGCUGUCCCUGCCCCGCCUGAGCACGGCUCUCCCCCUGCCCCGGGUGCCGCAUCCCUCCCUCGGGCCCCGCAUCCUCACUCGGGGCCCUUCUCCCGCUGCCCUCCCUCGGCCCAGGCUCAGGAAACUCGGGCUGGGUUUUUCCAGCUGCCGAAGCCGCGGAGCCCUCCGUGCAGAGGAGCAGCUGGAGCGCCCAGCCCGAGGCGGGAGCGGGGCUGGAGCAGCAGCGCAGGUUUUGGUGCAGGUUUUGGUGCAGGUUUUGGUGCAGGUGAGGACUCCAAGGUGUGGUUUUGUCACCGAGCCGAGGCGGCAGAGCCCGCGGAGAGGAGCUCCAGGAGCUGGGAUCAGAGUCCCGGGAUGUCCCAGCGAGAUGGGGUUAAAGCUUUCGGAUCCCGGUGCCGAGCACUUGAUGGUUUUGCCAUUUAAAGGCUGUGCUCGUUUCUUGGAUGGCUCCAGCGAAAGGCUUCCAGCUAUUCCCGAGGGAUCCUCCUACAUCCUGGUGAGAUAAGGAUCAGGAAGGGAAGGUCUCUGCAAUCUCAGCUGCGGCUUUGAGCACAGAUUCCCUUUUCACUUUGGGGGCGGAGGGGAGGAGAACAAAUUUGCCAGAAAAAAAUUAUGUCUAAGUGACACACACACACACACAAAAAUAUAUCCCACAACAAUGAUCUUAUCCUGUGAGUCAACAACAGCCACGUCUGCCUUUGUUCUGGCGGGGCUGUGGGACACCAGCAGGGAGGAGAGGGGACAGGGCAGCCUCUCCCAGGAAAAAACCCCGAGCAGCUCCUAAACCAAGCAGUGGUGAGCUCUGUCCUGGCUCUCCCUGCCUGGGAAGGAAGUGAGAGCCAGGCAGAGAGAGGAUGUGAGUGAGGAGCAGAAUCACAGCUGGUGGGAGUGAGGGCUGCUGAAUUAUCAACCAGAACGAGAGGCUGGAGCCUGCCGUGGGGACAGCGUCCUGUCACUGUGCCUCAGUUUCCCCAUCCAUGCUUUGCCCGGGGUACUGAGCAGAGGGAUUUGGUCCUGUGGCUGCACUAAUCCCCUCGCAGGUGGGAGCAGAGGAUUUCCCCUGAGGAGCAGCAAUUCCAAAGGGACAAAUGAAACCCGCGGGCCCUUGGGGAGGGGGAAGGAGCUGGAGGCUCCAAACCAGAGAGGAGAGAAGCUCUUUAGGAAGGAAGCAUUGUUUACACCUUUUUAUUUUUAAUGUACGUAUAUUUGGAUCCAACCUUUUCCAUGAUGGGUGUCAGAAAUCAAGGCCUCUUUUGUUCUACAAUUCACUCAGAGAUGUUUUUUGGUUCCUUAGUGAAAAAAAGGAAUUUAUUUGUUUUUCCUUACAACAAAACACACACAGAGCUCUCGUUGCUGUAGAAAACUGUUUUGUUAAUGACACUUCUUGCCAGGAUUGCUGCCCUGGUUUGGGGGGAAAUAAAGCAUUCCGAAGCCCUUGCUGCAGGCCUUGGAGCCUCACCAUGAUUUGGGGGGAAAUAAAGCAUUCCAAACCCCUUGCUGCAGGUCUUGGAGCCCCACCAUGAUAUUGGGGGAAAUAAAGCAUUCCGAAGCCCUUGCUGCAGGUCUUGGAGCCUCACCAUGAUUUGGGGGGAAAUAAAGCAUUCCAAACCCCUUGCUGCAGGUCUUGGAGCCCCACCAUGCUGCACCUGCAGUUUGCCCCUGGGAUUUGUCUGAAGGAAUCCCAGCCCUGCAGUGGAAGGGAAUGGGAAGGGAGCGUGUGCCAGGUAAAUACUGACCCCACAGGGCUGCUCCUGUGCCAGGGGCUGAGCUGUGCCCCGGUGCAGCCCUGCCAG